GACGAACGCUGGCGGCGUGCCUAAUACAUGCGAGUCGAGCGAAUCAAUAGGAGCUUGCUCCUGUUGAUUAGCGGCGGACGGGUGAGUAACACGUGGGCAACCUGCCUGUAAGACUGGGAUAACACCGGGAAACCGGUGCUAAUACCGGAUAAUCCUUUUCCUCUCAUGAGGGAAAGCUGAAAGUCGGUUUCGGCUGACACUUACAGAUGGGCCCGCGGCGCAUUAGCUAGUUGGUGAGGUAACGGCUCACCAAGGCGACGAUGCGUAGCCGACCUGAGAGGGUGAUCGGCCACACUGGGACUGAGACACGGCCCAGACUCCUACGGGAGGCAGCAGUAGGGAAUCUUCCACAAUGGACGAAAGUCUGAUGGAGCAACGCCGCGUGAGCGAUGAAGGCCUUCGGGUCGUAAAGCUCUGUUGUUAGGGAAGAACAAGUACCGGAGUAACUGCCGGUACCUUGACGGUACCUAACCAGAAAGCCACAGCUAACUACGUGCCAGCAGCCGCCGUAA
rnacentral:rRNA from 1 species